rnacentral:rRNA from 1 species
AGCAGCCGCGGUAAUUCCAGCUCCAAUAGCGUAUAUUAAAGUUGUUGCAGUUAAAAGCUCGUAGUUGAAUUUCGGGGUUAGUAGGUUGGUCGUGCCACUGGUACGUACUGGUCUCACUGAUUCCUCCUUCCUGAUGAACUGUAAUGCCAUUAAUUUGGUGUUGCAGGGAAACUGGACUGUUACUUUGAAAAAAGUUAGAGUGUUUAAAGCAGGCUCACGCUUGAAUACAUUAGCAUGGAAUAAUGAAAUAGGACGUUUGACCCUAUUUUGUUGGUUUCUAGGAUCGACGUAAUGAUUAAUAGGGAUAGUUGGGGGCAUUAGUAUUCAAUUGUCAGAGGUGAAAUUCUUGGAUUUUAUUGAAGACUAACUACUGCGAAAGCAUUUUGCCAAGGAUGUUUUCAUUAAUCAAGAACAAAAGUUAGGGGAUCGAAGACGAUCAGAUACCGUCGUAGUCUUAACCAUAAACUAUGCCGACUAGGGAUCGGAUGAUGUUAUUUUUUAAUGACUCAUUCGGCACCUU